GCAGUGGUGUAGUCUACGUGAUACGCAGGUAUACGCCGUAUGCCCACUAGGAACGCACCAGGAUUUGCGUAUACCCACUUAAAAAUGUGCACGGAUACGUAUCAAUCGUCUUGUGACAGAUCUUUCACUUCUGUGUUUAUUUUUCGCAAAUACCGGUUGGGUAUAACUGCAAUAAAAUACUUUAAGCAGGGGAAGUUAUCUCCUACAUUCACCAUUCAUAAAAUCCCCCCUUCGCGCUCUGCCCUGUCUCUGUUACGAAGCGCGAAGCUGCCCCUGCAUCUCUGCACGUUAGUUGGCGGGCCGAGCCCCUCCUUCUCGCGUGUGCGUGCGUGCGUGCGCGUGUGCGUGUGUGUGUGUGUGUUCCUCCCAUAUUAAUGUGUAAACCACAUAAUAAGUAGUCAACAGAAGACAAUGUUUUAAUCCCACUUUAUAUCUCCUUGUUACUUUUAGAUGAGAACCCCUGGCCAGCCUUUCAGACUGGGUGUCAGGCUAGGGAAUUUAAAAACAGGCACCCUUGGUUAGAGUGGAGGGGAAAAGAGUUAGGUAAAUGUCAGCCAACAUACAGUUGG